GAUAGAACGCUAGCUACGAGGCUUAACACAUGCAAGUCGAGGGGCAACAUGGUCGUUAGCUUGCUAAGGCCGAUGGCGACCGGCGCACGGGUGAGUAACACGUAUCCAACCUGCCGUCUACUCUUGGACAGCCUUCUGAAAGGAAGAUUAAUACAAGAUGGCAUCAUGAGUCCGCAUGUUCACAUGGUUAAAGGUAUUCCGGUAGACGAUGAGGAUGCGUUCCAUUAGAUAGUAGGCGGGGUAACGGCCCACCUAGUCUUCGAUGGAUAGGGGUUCUGAGAGGAAGGUCCCCCGCAUUGGAACUGAGACACGGUCCAA
rnacentral:rRNA from 1 species